rnacentral:rRNA from 1 species
GACGUAGGGCGCGAGCGUUGUCCGGAUUUAUUGGGCGUAAAGAGCUCGUAGGCGGCUUGUCGCGUCGAAUGUGAAAACUCGGGGCUCAACUCCGAGCUUGCAUUCGAUACGGGCAGGCUAGAGUUCGGUAGGGGAGACUGGAAUUCCUGGUGUAGCGGUGAAAUGCGCAGAUAUCAGGAGGAACACCGGUGGCGAAGGCGGGUCUCUGGGCCGAUACUGACGCUGAGGAGCGAAAGCGUGGG